rnacentral:rRNA from 1 species
AUUGAACGCUGGCGGCAGGCCUAACACAUGCAAGUCGAGCGGAGCGGCGGACGGGUGAGUAAUGCCUAGGAAUCUGCCUGGUAGUGGGGGAUAACGUCCGGAAACGGGCGCUAAUACCGCAUACUAUCAGAUGAGCCUAGGUCGGAUUAGCUAGUUGGUGGGGUAAAGGCCUUCCAAGGCGACGAUCCGUAACUGGUCUGAGAGGAUGAUCAGGCACACUGGAACUGAGACACGUGCCAGACCUCUACGGGUGGAAGAAGGGGGGAAUAUUGGACGAGGGGCGAAAGCCUGAUCCAGCCAUGCCGCGUGAACGAAGAAGGCUUUCGAGUCGUAAAGUUCGUGUAUAUGGGAAGCGGUACCAUAAGAAAAAGCCCCGGCUAACUACGUGCCAGCAGCCGCGGUAAUAC